rnacentral:rRNA from 1 species
ACUCCUACGGGAGGCAGCAGUGGGGAAUAUUGCACAAUGGGCGCAAGCCUGAUGCAGCCAUGCCGCGUGUGUGAAGAAGGCCUUCGGGUUGUAAAGCACUUUCAGCGGGGAGGAAGGCAAUGCGGUUAAUAACCGUGUUGAUUGACGUUACCCGCCGAAGAAGCACCGGCUAACUCCGUGCCAGCAGCCGCGGUAAUACGGAGGGUGCAAGCGUUAAUCGGAAUUACUGGGCGUAAAGCGCACGCAGGCGGUCUGUCAAGUCGGAUGUGAAAUCCCCGGGCUCAACCUGGGAACUGCAUUCGAAACUGGCAGGCUUGAGUCUUGUAGAGGGGGGUAGAAUUCCAGGUGUAGCGGUGAAAUGCGUAGAGAUCUGGAGGAAUACCGGUGGCGAAGGCGGCCCCCUGGACAAAGACUGACGCUCAGGUGCGAAAGCGUGGGGAGCAAACAGGAUUAGAAACCCGUGUAGUCCCAUGAU